GAUGAACGCUAGCUACAGGCUUAACACAUGCAAGUCGAGGGACCGGCGCACGGGUGAGUAACACGUAUCCAACCUGCCCUUUACUCGGGGAUAGCCUUUCGAAAGAAAGAUUAAUACCCGAUAUAAAGGAUGGGGAUGCGUUCCAUUAGGUUGUUGGUGAGGUAACGGCUCACCAAGCCUUCGAUGGAUAGGGGUUCUGAGAGGAAGGUACACCGCAUUGGAACUGAGGCCCGGACCACACUCCUACGGGGUGCAGCAGUGUGGUAUACUGGUCGAUGAGGGCUGGCCUAGACAAGCCAAGUAGCGUGAAGGGUGAAGCGUUAUGGAUCGUAUUCUUCUUUUAUAUAAGAAUCUGUAUUAGAAGAAUAAGGAUCGGCUAACUCCGUGCCAGCAGCCGCGGUAAUUC
rnacentral:rRNA from 1 species